ACUCAUCAAGCCCUGCCUAUAAAGGAAGCAGGAAGUUAAGGGUUCCUUCUUUCAUCUUCAAGGCUGCACACAGCAGGCAGCAACAGAAAUUUUUCACUCCUUAUUCAAUCUGGUGAAGAAAUGAAAAGAGGAGUUUGUCUGACUGUCAACCUACGAGCACCAAACACGUGGAGGACUGUACACACACCUGUGGAGGAUGUAGAGGACCAUCUCUUGGCUUCCUGCACUGGCAGCGUGAUGACGUAACCUGCAGCCGGACGAGUCGAGUGACGUCAGGUCGGCUCCCUCCAGGUGCUGAUUCAAUUCAAAGACACAUGGGCAGCCUGACCAAAACAAGACAAAGAGCUGUUAACAUGUAUGCUACACCACGCUGCCUCACCUGCUUCCUUCAACAUUUGGUGUUUCCUGUUUCUGAACUCUGAAGAGUAGGAUCUGUGCUGCAGCUGGAAGGAUUUUCUUCAGAUUAAAGUUUACUUGUUAGCUGUUUUAGUUUUCUCAGUCAUAGUUUGUUGUUCUUAUCUU